UAAUUUUUAUUUUAUAUGUGUGCGUGUGU
rnacentral:piRNA from 1 species